rnacentral:lncRNA from 1 species
AUGGUCCCCGGCGCCGCAGCCGCUGCCCCCGGCCCGCUCGCUCGCUCGCCGCGCGCUCUCUUCCUCUUGCAAACUUUCGGGUUCUGCGGUCGACAAGAAACCAGGGCGACCCUCAGCAAAUCUUCCCCGUGCAGGCUGAGGGGAACUGAAGGGGACGGGACGGGUUUCUUUCCACCCACAAAGCUAACGUGCAUCGUGAAUGGGCCUGAAUAUAAUUCCUCCAACAGAACUUGCCAGUUCUGUGGCUGCACUGCCAGUCACUCUCAGGAACACACAAGGAAAAAGAUGAUUUCAAGUCCAGGAAAGGAGGCUCUUCACUGCUGGAGAGCUGAGAACAGGCUUUGUGGAGGAGGGGGCCCUGGCUCACCCUCAGAGCAUCCCUAA